ACCCCUCCUCCUAUUUUUCAAGGCGACUUUUCCAAUUUAUUUAAUUACGAGUAGAAAUGUCUGGAAAAAUUCAUGUCUUCGAUGUACUUUAUAAUCUUCGGAAUUCCGCUAGAUUUCACCCCCAAAAUGCAUGAAAUCGCAAUUCAGGGACCCUAGAUUUCAAAAUUUUCCGGACCACGGACCCUCCUAGACGGUUCGCCCCCCCCGCAAAAUUAAGGUUUGGCUACGCCACUGGUUAUAGCUGUACGAUUAUAGCUACAAAGAGUUAAAGUUAUUGUUUAAGGUAAAAUAUAGCUGAAGUUAAUAAAUUAAAGUUUUACAAAAUCUCUCUUCAGACUCGCGCGUUCGUCAAACCUCGACGGCUCAUAUUUUCCGUUCGGCCUUUUUUUCCUGUUUUGCUCCCCCAGUGAAAAUUCCUUAAAAAAGGCACUGUAGACUUCAGUAUUAUUUUGAUGUCAGAGAAUAUGUUAUUCCAUUAAAUAUUUUUAUUAAAGCAGCUGUAAACUAUUUAUAGCCAAAAUAUUUCCCAUAAAUACGUCGCCUAAAUUUUGUGCCUGCAUGCCGUAAACCAAGCUCGGUUAAUGCAACACUGUUUAAUCCUCAUAAAUUAACUAAGGGAAGGUAGAUACAUAAAUCAUAUUAAUAAUUAUGAAAGUCUAAGAAUUACUAAAAUUUAAAACCUAAGCCUAAGCAACACUUUAUAUUUUAAAAAUAUUGUAGUAAUAGAGUGAACAUGUCAUGCCGUCAACUCAAGUCACGCCGCGGUGGCAUGCAACUCUUCUGCGCAGAAACUAUUUUUAAGCAGUGAGUUCAUAUCUCAGAUGUUAGCAGCGG